rnacentral:rRNA from 1 species
AGUGAACGCUGGCGGUAGGCCUAACACAUGCAAGUCGAACGGCAGCACAGUAAGAGCUUGCUCUUACGGGUGGCGAGUGGCGGACGGGUGAGGAAUACAUCGGAAUCUACUUUUUCGUGGGGGAUAACGUAGGGAAACUUACGCUAAUACCGCAUACGACCUACGGGUGAAAGCAGGGGAUCUUCGGACCUUGCGCGAUUGAAUGAGCCGAUGUCGGAUUAGCUAGUUGGCGGGGUAAAGGCCCACCAAGGCGACGAUCCGUAGCUGGUCUGAGAGGAUGAUUAGCCACACUGGAACUGAGACACGGUCCAGACUCCUAAGGGAGGCAGCAGUUGGGAAUAUUGGACAAUGGGCGCAAGCCUGAUCCAGCCAUACCGCGGGGGUGAAGAAGGCCUUCGGGUUGUAAAGCCCUUUUGUUGGGAAAGAAAAGCAGCAGGUUAAUACCCCGCUGUUCUGACGGUACCCAAAGAAUAAGCACCGGCUAACUUCGUG